rnacentral:rRNA from 1 species
AGAGUUUGAUCCUGGCUCAGGAUGAACGCUGGCGGCGUGCUUAACACAUGCAAGUCGAACGGAGCCUUUUAGGUGCUUGCACCGGGAAGGCUUAGUGGCGGACGGGUGAGUAACGCGUGGGUAACCUGCCCUGUACAGGGGGAUAACAGUUAGAAAUGACUGCUAAAACCGCAUAACAUCGUCAAACCGCAUGAUUUGGCGGUCAAAUAUUUAUAGGUACAGGAUGGGCCCGCGUCUGAUUAGCUGGUUGGUAGGGUAACGGCCUACCAAGGCGACGAUCAGUAGCCGUACUGAGAGGUAGGACGGCCACAUUGGGACUGAGACACGGCCCAAACUCCUACGGGAGGCAGCAGUGGGGAAUAUUGGACAAUGGGGGGAACCCUGAUCCAGCGACGCCGCGUGAGUGAAGAAGUAUUUCGGUAUGUAAAGCUCUAUCAGCAGGGACGAUAAUGACGGUACCUGACUAAGAAGCCCCGGCUAACUACGUGCCAGCAGCCGCGGUAAUACGUAGGGGGCAAGCGUUAUCCGGAUUUACUGGGUGUAAAGGGAGCGUAGGUGGUUUUGUAAGUCAGAAGUGAAAUGCCGGGGCUCAACCCCGGAGCUGCUUUUGAAACUGCAGGACUGGAGUGCAGGAGAGGUAAGUGGAAUUCCUAGUGUAGCGGUGAAAUGCGUAGAUAUUAGGAGGAACACCGGUGGCGAAGGCGGCUUACUGGACUGUAACUGACACUGAGGCUCGAAAGCGUGGGGAGCAAACAGGAUUAGAUACCCUGGUAGUCCACGCCGUAACGAUGAAUACUAGG